rnacentral:rRNA from 1 species
UACAGAGGUCUCAAGCGUUGUUCGGAAUUACUGGGCGUAAAGCGCGUGUAGGCGGCCCUGUAAGUCGGGUGUGAAAUCCCACGGCUCAACCGUGGAAGUGCAUUCGAAACUACAGGGCUAGAGUUCUGGAGAGGAAGGUGGAAUGCUUGGUGUAGAGGUGAAAUUCGUAGAUAUCAAGCGGAACACCGGUGGCGAAGGCGGCCUUCUGGACAGUAACUGACGCUGAGACGCGAAAGCGUGGGGAGCAAACAGG